UAUACACGAUAUAUGUAUAUAUAUCUAUGUAUACAUAUACUUAUAUAAUGCUUAAAAAAGUAACACUUUUCUUUUAAUCAAGAGGGCGCAUUUAAACUUCCGGCAUGUUUUGCGGUUUGAACGCAGCUUUUCGCUCUGUUAAAAAUUCCUUUAUAAAAGGUUUAAAUAUGCAAAAUAAAGACUCAGAAGAAGUGUCGGAAUCGAGUCUCGGACCAUCGAAGGAGGUUAUCCAAAAGAACGAAGAACCUAUUCUUCCUUGCUGUUCGUUAUAUGUUAACUAUAUUAUCUUUUUUACUUAAUUCCCUUUUCAUUUCCAUUCCUUUCUUUAUAUAUAUAUAUAUAUAUCUCCCUCUCCCUGCUUCUUUUCUCAACAUAUAAUUUUAGUCCUUUUCAUUGUCUAAUACAGUUUCGGAACACGUUACCAUGGACCAACUAAGAAAGAUGAAAACUGGACAAUUAUCGAGAAUAUGUCAAGAUUUAGAUAUUCCAUCAAGAGGUAGUAAAGCUGUACUUAGAAGUCGUAUUAUGGCAAUGCAACAGAGCGUAAAUUACAGGAACUUUGGCCCGAGAAAGGGAAGGGGAAUACUUGGCCAUAAAGUCGUAUGUUGCAUUCCUGGAUGCAAUAACUUCUCUGGUCAAGUCUUACCGGAUGGACACGAAAUAUCCCUUCAUCCUCUACCAACAGGUCCAAAACGUGACCGCAUUAGAACUGAAUGGAAAAGGCGUCUAGUCAACGCUGACGUUCGCCAUAUCACUGAUAACAUUAGGGUUUGUUCUACUCACUUCACGAAUAGAGUAAUGAAUGUUGAUUCUAUUCCAACGAUAUUCCCCAGAAAGUUGGAUAGAAUAGAAUUGCCCAGUCUUGAACUUAUGGGCGAAGAUGAAGAAUUUGAAUUAUUUACACCAAGAAUAAAGAAGCGAAAAUGUAGAAGGUUAUACUUUAAAAAUUUACGAAAAGACUCACCAAGAAAUGAGUCAUUCCCAGGCCCGUCCAGGAUGAAUUGGUUUUGACUUGAAAAGGAAAAAAAAAAGAAAAAAGCCGAAAAAAAAUAAAAAAGAAAGAAGAAAACAAGGUUGUUAUUUAGGUGAAAUACAUAUAAAUGUUUAAUGCAUAUAUAGAUAUACAUAUAUAUAUGUAUAAGGUAUACUUGAUUAAAAAUCAAAAAGUUGUAUUAAUUGUACUAUCUGUUAGGGUUAUAACUCCCAUAUAUAUACAUAUAUAUGUAUAUAUAUAUACAAGAUUAGUUUGAGAAAGAGAUAGAGAGAGAAAGAGAAGGAGAGAGGCGAAAGGAAGAAAAUUAUACCUUUGAUAAUAACUUUUUUGUUCUUCCUACAAUGAUAUUAUUGUCGAUUACUUUACGUCAACGUUUAUAAACGCUAAAAAAACCGUCAUGGUUUCCAUUAACCGUGAUGGAGUUUUCUUUCUCUCCCUCCCCCGCCCUUUUUAGAUUUAUUUCUUUUCUUAUUUCUCUCUUUCUCUCUUUUUGGAUAUAUUUGAUGAACAAAUUUGGAUAAUAAGUCUAUAAUUUCUUAUUUAAUGUAUUCCGUUUAUUUUGUUCUUUUUUCCUUUGGAAUUGUUUAUUUAUUAAUCUAUUCUUUCUUUCUUUCGCUCCUUCUUUAUCAUAUGUAUUAGUGUACAUUUAUUUAAUAAAGAGUAUAUAGCAUACGUCAUGUUAUUGUCUUUGUUGACCCAUCUGUUUAUGUCUGUUGUUUGUCACACACACAGACUUAUAUAUAUAUAGAUGCAUAUAUAUAUAUAAUAUGCUUGUGUCAGCAAAUAUUUGAAUAUAUUUUGAAUAAAAAGGUAAAAUUUAAAGAAAGCAAAAUUAAA
rnacentral:misc_RNA from 1 species